rnacentral:misc_RNA from 1 species
UUUCCGUAGGUGAACCUGCGGAAGGAUCAUUAAUUAUAUAAGGCCACAGGGCAAGCCUUCCGAAAGGAUCGAGCUUGCUGUGUGAACCCUACCUACCCUUGCUUUUUGCGUACCCAUUGUUUCCUCGGCAGGCUUGCCUGCCAGUAGGACCCUCUUAAACCCUUUGUAAUUGCAGUCAGCGUCAGAAACAACGUAAUCGCUACAACUUUCAACAACGGAUCUCUUGGUUCUG